rnacentral:rRNA from 1 species
AUGCCGAAUGCAUCAUGUUUCACAUGGCCUCGCCGGGGUGCGGAGGAAUCCCGCCCCCGCUGGGGCGACUGCUCUCUCCAUGGCCUCAACAUUAAGGUCGCCGGGUCGGUGCCGGACAUGGGUGCUCUCCCCGGAGGCGGCUCCAGGCCAAUUACAAUCCCUCCAUAUUUCUGGGGUGAGGGUCCGGUGGCCCAGUUGGCGAGGCGGUUUGGCUGGAAGGUGAAGCCGAGGAAAGGUGGUGGCUUCCCCGUGCAUGCGGGCUACUCGGAGGCGAGGGCCUUGGUCGGCAAGGGAGCCGUGGCGGAUCUGCGAAGGCUGUCUCGCCAGGCGGAAGACAUGGUGGCGGAGGUGUUUGCCAGCAUCAAGGACGAGCGGUUCGGAGAGGAAGCGGCGGAGGUGCCAGAACCGGCGCGGCGCAGGGUGGCACCGACGUCGUCGACGUGGGCUGCGACCUGCUCAACUCCGAGGUCAUGA